rnacentral:rRNA from 1 species
GACUUUUUAAAUUUGAACUCUAAUUGUUGUUGGGCUUAGAUUUUUUAAAAAUAGUUUUAUUAUUUAUGGGUAAAAUAGGAUUAUUUAAUUUAUAAUAUCUAAGUUCUCAAGAUUUGAUAAUAGAAGUGGAUUAGUACCCACGUAUUCAAAAUUUAAAAGAACAGGAGUAAAGUUAUAUUUAAACUGAAAGGAUAUUGGCAGAUUUCUAAAUAAUCUUUGGAGGUUGAGUAGUAAUUGAGAGCCCUCAUUUUCAGCUUUUGUUUUUGAUUCGUGUAUGAUCGUUUAUUUAAUUUUUAAGAAUUAUAAUAAAAGGUUUUUUUUACUUUAAAAAUAGAUAUAUACCCGGUUUAUGCAGUAGAUUUAAUUUGACCUACAUUAAUUAGUUUUGUGGAUCUUGAAUUUAGAGAUUUUGGUGAAAAUGUAAAAGACAGUAAGACUUUUUUGAUAUAAGUCUGAAGUUUAUUUGGGAAU